rnacentral:rRNA from 1 species
CUUGGCUCAGGACGAACGCUGGCGGCGCGCCUAACACAUGCAAGUCGAACGAGAGAUGAGGAGCUUGCUCUUCAGAUCGAGUGGCGAACGGGUGAGUAACGCGUGAGGAACCUGCCUCAAAGAGGGGGACAACAGUUGGAAACGACUGCUAAUACCGCAUAAGCCCACGGCUCGGCAUCGAGCAGAGGGAAAAGGAGCAAUCCGCUUUGAGAUGGCCUCGCGUCCGAUUAGCUAGUUGGUGAGGUAACGGCCCACCAAGGCGACGAUCGGUAGCCGGACUGAGAGGUUGAACGGCCACAUUGGGACUGAGACACGGCCCAGACUCCUACGGGAGGCAGCAGUGGGGAGUAUUGCACAAUGGGGGAAACCCUGAUGCAGCGACGCCGCGUGGAGGAAGAAGGUCUUCGGAUUGUAAACUCCUGUUGUUGAGGAAGAUAAUGACGGUACUCAACAAGGAAGUGACGGCUAACUACGUGCCAGCAGCCGCGGUAAAACGUAGGUCACAAGCGUUGUCCGGAAUUACUGGGUGUAAAGGGAGCGCAGGCGGGAGAACAAGUUGGAAGUGAAAUCCAUGGGCUCAACCCAUGAACUGCUUUCAAAACUGUUUUUCUUGAGUAGUGCAGAGGUAGGCGGAAUUCCCGGUGUAGCGGUGGAAUGCGUAGAUAUCGGGAGGAACACCAGUGGCGAAGGCGGCCUACUGGGCACCAACUGACGCUGAGGCUCGAAAGUGUGGGUAGCAAACAGGAUUAGAUACCCUGGUAGUCCACACCGUAAACGAUGAUUACUAGGUGUUGGAGGAUUGACCCCUUCAGUGCCGCAGUUAACACAAUAAGUAAUCCACCUGGGGAGUACGACCGCAAGGUUGAAACUCAAAGGAAUUGACGGGGGCCCGCACAAGCAGUGGAGUAUGUGGUUUAAUUCGACGCAACGCGAAGAACCUUACCAAGUCUUGACAUCCCUUGACGAUGCUGGAAACAGUAUUUCUCUUCGGAGCAAGGAGACAGGUGGUGCAUGGUUGUCGUCAGCUCGUGUCGUGAGAUGUUGGGUUAAGUCCCGCAACGAGCGCAACCCUUAUGGUCAGUUACUACGCAAGAGGACUCUGGCCAGACUGCCGUUGACAAAACGGAGGAAGGUGGGGAUGACGUCAAAUCAUCAUGCCCUUUAUGACUUGGGCUACACACGUACUACAAUGGCGUUAAACAAAGAGAAGCAAGACCGCGAGGUGGAGCAAAACUCAGAAACAACGUCCCAGUUCGGACUGCAGGCUGCAACUCGCCUGCACGAAGUCGGAAUUGCUAGUAAUCGUGGAUCAGCAUGCCACGGUGAAUAAAAGGCCGGGCCUUGCACA